rnacentral:rRNA from 1 species
UACAGAGGUCCCAAGCGUUGUUCGGAUUCACUGGGCGUAAAGGGUGCGUAGGCGGUCGGGUGAGUCUGAUGUGAAAUCUCACAGCUUAACUGUGAAACUGCAUUGGAUACUAUUCGGCUUGAGAGUUGGAGGGGGGACUGGAAUUCUUGGUGUAGCAGUGAAAUGCGCAGAUAUCAGGAGGAACACCAGCGGCGAAGGCGGCGCUCUGGGCCGGAACUGACGCUGAGGAGCGAAAGCGUGGGUAGCAAACAGG